AGUGAACGCUGGCGGUAGGCCUAACACAUGCAAGUCGAACGGCAGCACAGUAAGAGCUUGCUCUUACGGGUGGCGAGUGGCGGACGGGUGAGGAAUACAUCGGAAUCUACUUUUUCGUGGGGGAUAACGUAGGGAAACUUACGCUAAUACCGCAUACGACCUACGGGUGAAAGCAGGGGAUCUUCGUACCUUGCGCGAUUGAAUGAGCCGAUGUCGGAUUAGCUAGUUGGCGGGGUAAAGGCCCACCAAGGCGACGAUCCGUAGCUGGUCUGAGAGGAUGAGCAGACACACUGGAACUGAGACACGGCACAGACUCAUACGGGAGGCAGCAGUGGGGAAUAUUGGAAAAUGGGAGCAAGCCUGAUACAGCCAUACCGCGUGGGUGAAGAAGGCCUUCGGGUUGUAAAGCCCUUUUGUUGGGAAAGAAAAGCAGCAGGUUAAUACCCCGCUGUUCUGACGGUACCCAAAGAAUAAGCACCGGCUAACUUCGU
rnacentral:rRNA from 1 species